rnacentral:rRNA from 1 species
UGAAUACGGGACGCUAAGGCGUCGAAGUAGUGUAUGUCAUACUUCCAAGAAAAGCUUGCACUGUCAUAGAUAAAAAACGCCUGUACCAUAACCGACACAGGUGGGUAGGUAGAGUAUACUAAGGGGCGCGAGAUAACUCUCUCUAAGGAACUCGGCAAAAUAACUCCGUAACUUCGGGAGAAGGAGUGCCUUAUUCGUAAGGUUGCAAUAACAAGAUCCAAGCAACUGUUUAUCAAAAACACAGGUCUCCGCUAAGUCGUAAGACGAUGUAUGGGGGCUGACGCCUGCCCAGUGCCAGAAGGUUAAAGAAGUUGGUUAGCAAUUGCGAAGCUGAUAACUGAAGCCCUGGUGAACGGCGGCCGUAACCAUAACGGUCCUAAGGUAGCGAAAUUCCUUGUCGGGUAAGUUCCGACCCGCACGAAAGGCGUAAUGAUUUGGAUACUGUCUCGGAGAGGGGCUCGGUGAAAUAGACUUGUCUGUGAAGAUGCGGACUACCUGCACCAGGACAGAAAGACCCUAUGAAGCUUUACUGUAACUUGAAAUUGAAAUUGGACUUUAUUUGCGCAGUAUAGGUGGGAGGCGUUGAUUAUAAUCUUGUGGGAUUAUUGGAGCCAUCAGUGAGAUACCACUCUUGUAAUGUUAGAUUUCUAACUUUGAAUCAUUAUCUGGUCAAGGGACAGUUUCAGGCGGGCAGUUUGACUGGGGCGGUCGCCUCCUAAACGGUAACGGAGGCGUACAAAGGUUUCCUCUGAACGGUUAGAAAUCGUAUCUAGAGUGUAAAGGCAUAAGGAAGCUUGACUGUGAGACCUACAAGUCGAGCAGGGACGAAAGUCGGUCUUAGUGAUCUGACGGUACUGAGUGGAAAGGCCGUCACUCAACGGAUAAAAGUUACUCUAAGGAUAACAGGCUGAUCUCCCCCAAGAGUUCACAUCGACGGGGAGGUUUGGCACCUCGAUGUCGGCUCAUCGCAUCCUGGGGCGGUAGUACGUCCCAAGGGUUGGGCUGUUCGCCCAUGAAAGCGGUACGCGAGCUGGGUUCAGAACGUCGUGAGACAGUUCGGUCCAUAUCCGGUGUAGGCGUUAGAAUAUUGAGAGGAGCCUUCUUUAGUACGAGAGGACCGAGAAGGACAUACCUCUGGUGUACCAGUUAUCGUGCCAACGGUAAACGCUGGGUAGCUAUGUAUGGAGUGGAUAACCGCUGAAAGCAUCUAAGUGGGAAGCCCACCUCAAGAUAAG